rnacentral:misc_RNA from 1 species
CCGAGUGAGGGCCUCCGGGCCCGACCUCCAACCCUUUGUGAACACACCCGUUGCUUCGGGGGCGACCCUGCCGUUUCGACGGCGAGGCGCCCCCGGAGGGUCUUCCAACACUGCAUCUUUGCGUCGGGAGUUUAAGGGAAAUGAAACA